UCGAGAAUCUUCCGCAAUGGGCGAAAGCCUGACGGAGCGACGCCGCGUGAUCGAUGAAGUCUUUCGGGAUGUAAAGAUCUUUUAUGAGCAAGAAAGUUAUUGAUCAGCUCAUGAAUAAGAGGUUGCUAAACUCGUGCCAGCAGCAGCGGUAAUACGAGUGCCUCGAGCGUUAUCCGGAAUUAUUGGGCGUAAAGGGUGUGUAGGUGGUUGUGUUAGUCUCCUGUUAAAUUCUUCGGCUUAACCGGGGUCCUGCGGGAGAAACGGCACAACUAGAGGAUGCGAGAGGUGUACGGAACUCUAAGUGUAGGGGUGAAAUCCGUUGAUAUUUAGGGGAACACCAAAAGCGAAGGCAGUACACUGGCGCAUUCCUGACACUGAAACACGAAAGCGUAGGUAGCGA
rnacentral:rRNA from 1 species